rnacentral:rRNA from 1 species
GGAGGCAGCAGUGGGGAAUUUUGGGCAAUGGGCGAAAGCCUGACCCAGCAACGCCGCGUGAAGGAUGAAAUCCCUCGGGAUGUAAACUUCGCAAGAACGGGAAGAAUAAGUAGGGGACAAUACCCCCUAUGAUGACGGUACCGUUUGUAAGCUCCGGCUAACUCCGUGCCAGCAGCCGCGGUAAUACGGGGGGAGCAAGCGUUGUUCGGAUUUACUGGGCGUAAAGGGCGCGUAGGCGGUCAGCACAAGUCAAUUGUGAAAUCUCCGAGCUUAACUCGGAAAGGUCAACUGAAACUGUGCGACUAGAGUGCGGAAGGGGCAACUGGAAUUCUUGGUGUAGCGGUGAAAUGCGUAGAUAUCAAGAGGAACACCUGCGGCGAAGGCGGGUUGCUGGGCCGACACUGACGCUGAAGCGCGAAAGCCAGGGGAGCGAACGGGAUUAGAUACCCCGGUAGUCCUGGCCUUAAACGAUGAAUGCUUGGUGUCUGGGGUUAUAAAGUCCCCGGGUGCCGUCGCUAACGCUUUAAGCAUUCCGCCUGGGGAGUACGGUCGCAAGACUGAAACUCAAAGGAAUUGACGGGGACCCGCACGAGCGGUGGAGCAUGUGGUUUAAUUCGACGCAACGCGAAGAACCUUACCUGGGCUAGAAUGCCUCUGACAACCCUAGAGAUAGGGCCUCCAAGGUAAAACUUGGCAGAGUGCAAGGUGCUGCAUGGCUGUCGUCAGCUCGUGUCGUGAGAUGUUGGGUUAAGUCCCGCAACGAGCGCAACCCUUAUCUUUAGUUGCCAGCAUUAAGUUGGGCACUCUAGAGAGACUGCCGUUGACAAAACGGAGGAAGGUGGGGAUGACGUCAAGUCCUCAUGGCCUUUAUGUCCAGGGCUACACACGUGCUACAAUGGCCGGUACAAACCGCCGCAAACUCGCAAGAGGGAGCCAAUCGGAAAAAGCCGGUCUCAGUUCGGAUUGGAGUCUGCAACUCGACUCCAUGAAGUUGGA